ACCAAGUCUGCGUCAUCCUCUC
rnacentral:miRNA from 1 species